rnacentral:rRNA from 1 species
UACAGAGGGUGCAAGCGUUAAUCGGAAUUACUGGGCGUAAAGCGCACGUAGGUGGUUUUUUAAGUUGGGUGUGAAAUCCCCGGGCUCAACCUGGGAACUGCAUCCAAGACUGGGAGACUAGAGUAUGGUAGAGGAGAGUGGAAUUUCCAGUGUAGCGGUGAAAUGCGUAGAUAUUGGAAGGAACACCAGUGGCGAAGGCGACUCUCUGGACUAAUACUGACACUGAGGUGCGAAAGCGUGGGUAGCGAACAGG